CCUACGGGGUGCAGCAGUGGGGAAUAUUGCACAAUGGGGGAAACCCUGAUGCAGCGACGCCGCGUGAGCGAUGAAGUAUUUCGGUAUGUAAAGCUCUAUCAGCAGGGAAGAAAAUGACGGUACCUGACUAAGAAGCCCCGGCUAACUACGUGCCAGCAGCCGCGGGAAUACGUAGGGGGCAAGCGUUAUCCGGAUUUACUGGGUGUAAAGGGAGCGUAGACGGCUUGGCAAGCCAGAUGUGAAAGGCUCGGGCUCAACCCCAGGACUGCAUUUGGAACUGUCAUGCUAGAGUGUCGGAGAGGCAGGCGGAAUUCCUAGUGUAGCGGUGAAAUGCGUAGAUAUUAGGAGGAACACCAGUGGCGAAGGCGGCCUGCUGGACGAUGACUGACGUUGAGGCUCGAAAGCGUGGGGAGCAAACAGGAUUAGAUACCCUAGUAGUC
rnacentral:rRNA from 1 species